UGCGCGGCUUCCUCCUGCCUUUUCCGCGGUCCAGGGGGGCUGGGCAGGCGGCGGCGGCAGCACGUGCGGUUGGAAUAUUGGGAGCCUCCUUCCUUCAGAUCCCAGAAACCAAGAGACAAAGAUAGAUGUCCAUGAUGGCAUUUUACAGUCACCUUUCAGAAAGCACCUGCACUUGAAGAUGGUUGUUCUCCAAGUUGAUUUCCCAGAGGCCUCCAGCCCCUACAGGGUCCCCUUGUUUCAAGUUCAACACAAGCCUGGGUAUUAUUGAAGCAUUGUGGCGUAACUAUGGGACCUGCUGUAACUCCUACCUCUUAUGCUACAUGUGAUGGAGUUCAAGAUAUGCUGGGGCAAAUCAAGUCAGAGCAAGCAGACAUGCAACACUCAGUUCUCCCUCAACCUGAAAAGGAAGGAAAGCUUCAUGAAAACCUCUGAGUGAGAAAAAAAAUCAGAUACUGUAAAUGGAAGCCCUGGAUACUUACAUAAAAGCUGUGCUGGUCUGAAUCACACAUGAAUAUCUACUGCUGAAAAACUGGUGAAAGAUAACAAAUUGCUUUUUGGUUGAAGAAACAAGUAAGAGCCAGAAAUGAUACAGGGGAUCCCAGAUGAACAAGGAAAAUCAAAUCAUACUCUUUGUUGUAGAAAACUUUUUACCAGCCAUCCUAAAUUUAAAUCUGAAAGAUGAUUUUAUGUGGAAAAGUCCUAACUCGUUUUCAGUUAGUAGUCCCAAAAAGGUUGGAAACACUGUUUUAAAAAUUUCUCCCAGUCAAUAGGACCAUGAAAGACUAAUACAGGCAGCUUGUGAAAUUAAGAAUCUCUAAAAUUAUCAAUGCUAAUAGUUAUUUUUCCCUGCCAUAACCCAGCCUAUUUCAGUUAGAUAGAAUCCUAAAGGCCAAACUGACCUUCAAUGCUUGCACAGCUCCCAUUAAUAGGAAAUGCAGGUCAUGUCUGAAGGAGCAAUAUGGCUAUAAAACUCAACAGAGAGCAAAAGUGAUGCAAUGGAAAUAAUUACAAGUCAAUAGAAAGAGGUUUCUUUAAAACAGAUCUAUUUUUCAGCUCCAGUAGCCCACUGAAAAUGCAAUAUAAACAUUAACCAGAGAACAACACUUUCUUAUAAAAAUAUUAAACUAAUAGAUUGUAAUACCUUAACACUAAAUCUCAACACACCUUUGCUAAUACAAAUACCAUAAACUUGUUACACUAUUCCCUAAGGGCUAGACCCACAAAAGUACUUAGGUGCCUAAACCCCAGGCAAUCCACAAUAUCCCUGCUUGGCUGCUGCCUAAUCCUGUAGGUAUCGCCACUCACUUGGUGUCUAAAUUUCUGCUGUAAAAGUUCCCCAGGCACCUAUGUCUCUCCCUCUGGGUACAUGGACUGCUGUUUCAUUCUAGGCAUGUAGAUGCCUGUCUCCCACCUAAGCCCCAUUGCAUGCCACAAACUGGGGGAAGACAGGUGUGCCUCCACCUAUCUCGUCUACAGGGCCUGAUGUGGUAGGCAUGGGCAGCUGCUGCCUAACUCCAUACAAAAAUGGCCAGAAGAUGACCUCCCUUGUUACCUGUAGCCUGCUGAUUAGGGUAUGCAGUUAGGCUGUGGGUAACUGCUGGUUCAAUUCUCCCCUCUACCUGAUAAGAAGAGAGAUUUGAACAGGUAUCUGCCACCUCUCAGGUGAGUGCCCAACCACCAGGCUAUGGUAUAAUCCAGUGGUUCCCAGACUUGUU